ACUGAGAGCAGACGGGUCUAGUAUCGGCCCGGAGGCUUCUGAUGUUUUGUGUCCAGGUCUUGCAGCUCCUCCGGACGUAUCCUGUUCACAAGAAGAGGACUUGAGCCUCAAGGUGCACUGGACUACGCCAUCAACGACUUGUGAAAUUUCGCAGUAUAGCGUAAACUAUACAGCCGCGGUCAUGUGGUCCGAGGAAGUCUACAAGAACUACUCUCUCGUCGACGCGGCGACGUCGGAAUACGUCCUUCAACGGCCAAUCCCAUACACUUUUUACAUCUUCGAAGUUAGAGCCGUUGUGGCAGGCUGUGGUCACGGUGAACCUCGUUUUUGUCCAGUGAAAACAAAAGAAGAGCCCCCGUCCGCCCCGGUGUCGCUGAGAGUGACAGCAAAUACAGCGAAGAGCCUGAGCAUCGCAUGGAAAUAUCCGGCAGAAAU